AUUUAAGCAGAAGGAGUUUUUCGGGUCUCGGAUUCAGUUAAUCUUCCGAUUGACUUGCAGUAGACGACAAAGACAUCAAGAUGACAAGCGCAACAUACUCCUUCCAUUAUGAACAGAUCUGGGAAGAGUCUAAAAAUCAUUCUAAGGAUUGGAGCCAGAGAAUCAGAAUGAGGAUAGCAGAUGAGACGCAAAAAUAUGUAUUUCACAAAGAGAGACAAGAGUUCGAAGAGUUGGGUGAGAAGGAUGUGUCUGAACUUGACUUCUUUCCAGGUGAACUGGAAAUGGAGGAAACUGUACUGGAUGCCGCUGACCAGGAAACGGUGAUGUGUGAAGACAACAGCAAAAAAGAUUCCUGUUCCAAUGCUAUUGUCAAGAA